rnacentral:rRNA from 1 species
UACGUAGGCAGCGAGCGUUGUUCGGAAUUACUGGGCGUAAAGAGUGUGUAGGCGGUGCUCCCAGUCUGUUGUGAAAUCUCCCGGCUUAACUGGGAGGGUGCAGCGGAAACUAGAGUGCUAGAGGGUGGGAGAGGUAAGCGGAAUUCCUGGGUGUAGCGGUGAAAUGCGUAGAUAUCAGGAGGAACACCUGUGGUGUAGACAGCUUACUGGACCACUUCUGACGCUGAGACACGAAGACGUGGGUAGCAAACAGG